rnacentral:lncRNA from 1 species
UCUUGGUUGGCGCUGAAAAUUGAUUACAGACAGUAGAUGUGAUAACCGUCCCCGUUUCUAAGAGAAACGGGGGGAGGCCAUCAACCAAAGGGCGGGCGUUUGUAAUCGCCUGAUGGUGGGCGGUUACAACCGUCCGCCUUCCCCAGCAAUCGGAGGCUACAAGAAGCCCCGAUCGAUGAGGCUUUUCACCACCCUCCUUCCUCUAUUUCUCCUCCAUUGUCUUCCUUUCUCAUAACUCUCCCCAGUGGAUAGGAUCUGG